UGCCCCAGUAACGGCGAGUGAAGCGGCAACAGCUCAAAUUUGAAAUCUGGCCCCCCGGGCCCGAGUUGUAAUUUGCAGAGGAUGCUUUUGGUGAGGCACCUACCGAGUCCCCUGGAAUGGGGCGCCAUAGAGGGUGAGAGCCCCGUAUGGUAGGACGCCGAACCUCUGUAAAGCUCCUUCGACGAGUCGAGUAGUUUGGGAAUGCUGCUCUAAAUGGGAGGUAAAUUUCUUCUAAAGCUAAAUACCGGCCAGAGACCGAUAGCGCACAAGUAGAGUGAUCGAAAGAUGAAAAGCACUUUGAAAAGAGGGUUAAAAAGUACGUGAAAUUGUUGAAAGGGAAGCGCUUGUGACCAGACUUGCGCCGGGCGGAUCAUCCAGCGUUCUCGCUGGUGCACUCCGCCCGGUUCAGGCCAGCAUCGGUUUUCGCCGGGGGACAAAGGCUUCGGGAACGUGGCUCCUUUCGGGGAGUGUUAUAGCCCGUUGCGUAAUACCCCGGCGGGGACCGACGACCGCGCUUCGGCAAGGAUGCUGGCGUAAUGGUCAUCAGCGACCCGUCUUGAAACACGGACCGAGGAGUCAAGCAUUAGUGCGAGUGUUUGGGUGUAAAACCCGCACGCGUAAUGAAAGUGAACGUAGGUGAGAGCUUCGGCGCAUCAUCGACCGAUCCUGAUGUUUUCGGAAGGAUUUGAGUAGGAGCAUUAACGCUUGGACCCGAAAGAUGGUGAACUAUACUUGAAUAGGGUGAAGCCA
rnacentral:rRNA from 1 species